rnacentral:sRNA from 1 species
GAGGCGCUGUCUACGAGUCGG